UUGGUACAGCACUAGAUCUGCUUGCUUAAUUGCAUCUUAGGGCCCGUUUGUUUUGGUGUAACUGGAGUACUUCCGUUAUUUGUUUUGGUGUAAGUGAAAAAUAUAAUGUAACUCAAGUUACGUUAGAGCUCCACUUCACCUACUCUCGACUUCCGGCUCUAAAGUACCGAACUCGACUUCCACCACACUCAACUUUUUCUAAACAAUUUAUUAAACAGUAAAACCUAAACUCUACUUUCUUUAUAAUGGGUUAGAAUUAUCUUAUUUAUAAUAAAUUAAGAUUAUCUUUAAAUAAUAAUAAAAAAUUUAAUUAUAUAAUAGGUUAAAUUUUAUAGUGAUAAAUUUAUUACUAUAUUUAGGAGAUAAUGGAAUCCACUUACUUACAUCAAAACAAACAACGGAACUCAAAAAACUAAUUUUACCAGCACCAAGUUACAUCAAAACAAACAGCAGAAAUGAUUGAAUUUAACUUUCAGUGGUACGAGUUACGUCAAAACAAACAACAGAAAAAUAAUCACACUUCAGGGAAACUCAAACACCACUACACUUGACUUACGUUGAAUCUACAAAUUCGUCAAUCCAAACGCCCCCUUAGCUUCUUACCAGCUUACAAUGUUGCUUCUC
rnacentral:lncRNA from 1 species